rfam:Schistosoma curassoni strain Dakar, Senegal genome assembly, scaffold: SCTD_scaffold0000996
AGGCUUCUGUAUCCGUGCUGAGAUUUCGUCACACACCAGACCACAAAGGCUGAUGAGACCUCCAAAGCAUAAUAUUCA